UACGUAGGGGGCAAGCGUUGUCCGGAAUCAUUGGGGUACGUAAAGAGCGCGUAUGGACGGCCCGAUAAGUCCGUCUGUGAAAAGUCAAGGGCUUAACCCUUGAAUGCCGGUGGAAACUGUCGGGCUAGAGUCCGGAAGAGCGAGUGGAAUCCUGGUGUAGCGGUGAAUGCGUAUGAGUAUCUGGAGGAACACCGGUGGCGA
rnacentral:rRNA from 1 species